UUCGUUAAUAUCAUUUUAAAAAACAGUUUUUACUAAAUAUUUAAGUCACAUUUAUGAAUAAAAACUAAUUGUUUAACUAAUACAUACACAACCAUUCCAGAAAUAGUUUAAACAAAAUAAUUAUAAAAAAUUACAUGAUAAUAAAUUUUGAGUAUCAUCAUUAAUUAAAAAAAUGAAUUUAUGAAAAGGAUGGUAACAACUCAACACGUCUUUGAUUUUGAUUCCUUUCGCCUUCCUUCUCCGGUCUCCCCCCAGUCCCCACAGAAAAUACUUUUGCUCUUCCCCCCCAAUAUAUAUAUAUAUAUAUAUAUAUAUAUUAUUUAUGAUUUUUAAUAAACCAAUCUCCAAGCCAACGAAAUAGACGCACGCAGCACGUUGUAUGCUAACAUCUCAAUCAAACAAGGCUUCUGAGAAUUGAAGUUUUGAUUGGUCUUCUUUUACCCCCCACUAAAAGCACAAGGUUAAAUAAAAAUAAGGCAAUGUUGUUGGAUCAGUCCCCUGUCGAAUCUCUCACUCCACCUACUUGUUUUAAACUUUAUUUAAUUUAACAACCACUAAAUAAAAAAGGGCAAUUGUAAAUUCGUGAUUCCGUUAAACCCAGAAGCAUCCACUGUGGAGCAGCAGCAGCACCAGUUGAGACAGAGCAGAGACGCAGCACCACCACCACCACCAGCCGAGACGAAGCAUAGACGCAUCAGUAGCAGCAUCACCAGUUAUUCCUCAAGAGAGACGCAAUAGCAGCAGCAGCACUAGUCGAUCCUUAAAAGAGAAGCCGUAGCAGCACCACUACCACCAAUUGAGAGAAGCUGGGACACGGCAGCAGUCGAUUCUGGUUGAAGAACCGUGAUGGAGAGGGAGACAGCUAUGACGAAUCGUGGUUGAAGAACUCUGACAGAGAGAUAGAUGUGAAUUUCGAUCGGGAUAAGGAGAUUAGGCUUGGGUUUUGUUUUGCAAUUUCUUUUGUGAUAUAAUUUGUGAUUCAUAUGAGAACUUGUUAAACACGUUCUCAGUUUUAUAACAAUAAAAAAUAAUAUAAAUUAUUUGUUUUAUAAUUCAUUUUUGGAUCCAGCCGACCGAACAAGAAUUACAUAUGUACUCUCAAAACGAAAAUGAAAACAGGGCCCUGAAAAUGAUACCGAACAGGCCCUAAGGUUUAUGAUUAGUUUGUUCAUUUUUAUUUUUUUUUGGUUUUGUUAAUUUACAAAGUCUUUCCUUUAAAAUAAAAUAAAAUAAAUAAACAAAACAAAGUGUUAG
rnacentral:lncRNA from 1 species